rnacentral:tRNA from 3 species
GCGGCUAUAGCUCAGCAGGAUAGAGUAGCACACUCCGAAUGUGAAGGUCGCGAGUUCGAAUCUCGCUAGCCGCA